rnacentral:rRNA from 1 species
UAUUGGCCAAACCUUCGUGUCAAAGCCUGAUCUCGUCAGAUCUCAGAAGCAAAGCAGUGCUGGGCUUGGUUUAAUACUUGGAUCGGAGACCGCUGGGAAUACCAGGUGCUCCAGUGU